CCUACGGGUGGCAGCAGUGGGGAAUAUUGCACAAUGGGCGAAAGCCUGAUGCAGCAACGCAGCGUGAGCGAUGAAGGCCCUCGGGUCGUAAAGCUCUGUCUUCAAGGAAGAUAAUGACGGUACUUGAGGAGGAAGCCCCGGCUAACUACGUCCCAGCAGCCGCGGUAAUACGUGGGGGGCUAGCGUUAUCCGGAAUUACUGGGCGUAAGGGGUGCGUAGGUGGUUUCUUAAGUCAGAGGUGAAAGGCUACGGCUCAACCGUAGUAAGCCUUUGAAACUGGGGAACUUGAGUGCAGGAGAGGAAAGUGGAAUUCGUAGAGUAGCGGUGAAAUGCGUAGAUAUUAGGAGGAACACCAGUUGCGAAGGCAGCUCUCUAGACUGUAACUGACACUGAGGCACGAAAGCGUGGGGAGCAAACAGGAUUAGAUACCCUGGUAGUC
rnacentral:rRNA from 1 species